UAAAAUAGUCGAAUGGUGAGUUAUUACUUUCUAAAUUCUAGUUAAUAUCCAUGGGUCCUUUCAUACAUAGCAUUAGAAGCUAUCACUACCAAAGGAGGAGGAAAAACAUCAGCCGGGCCUGGUGGCACACGCCUGUAAUGCCAGCAUCUGGAGGCUGAAGUAAGAGGAUCGCUUGAUCUACGUAGUUCGUUCAAGGCCAGGCUAAACUAAGCAGCAAAACCCGGUCUCGGUCCCAACAAACCAACCGAGCCGCGCAAAAAAAAAAAAAAGAAAAAAGAAAAUCAAACAGAAAACCGUUUUGAACAAAGCUUUUUUUCUUUUUUGUUUCACUGUAUCAAUGACAAAAACGAUCCUGCUCUUUUCCUUGAAGAAUUUCUUUGUGCUUGUGAUGAGUUUACUUAGUUCUUUGCUGAUUUUGGUUUUUUAGGGAAAGAUAGCUGGAGAAAGGGACUGGGCGGCAGCAUUUCUACUGUGCAUGUUUAGAUUUUAGGCUUCAGCCAUUGAUUCAGAACACGCACACACACACACACUCACACACCCCAAAACCUCCCUCCCACACCCAAAUCUACGUCUCUGCCGGCCCCACUGCAGACCCUCGCCUUCCCGCUGAGCCCCGGCUCCGGGUUCCAGGACGAAGCACGAGCUCCGCCUACCGGCAGCUGGGCAGAAAGACAGGCUGUCGAGCCCCGCCGGAGAUUCUCUUGCAGUUUGGCCCAAGUCGGGAAAAACGGUUUAAACGCACGCCUGCGAAGCUUCCGGCACCUGAAGGGACACUUGAAGGGUCAGAUGAAGUAACUGUGGUUUCACUGAUGAAAAUGCCUGAAAAGGUCUUUCAAGACAAACUCCACGGACAGAACCUCCAGAAGUGCUCCCAACUAACAGCAAAAAUUGCAGGAC
rnacentral:lncRNA from 1 species